rnacentral:rRNA from 1 species
UACGAAGGGGCUAGCGUUGCUCGGAUUGACUGGGCGUAAAGGGCGCGUAGGCGGUUCGUACAGUCAGACGUGAAAUUCCUGGGCUCAACCUGAGGGCUGCGUUUGAUACGUGCGGACUUGAGUGCGGAAGAGGUCGUGGAAUUCCAGUGUAGAGGUGAAAUUCGUAGAUAUUGGGAAGAACACCGGUGGCGAAGGCGGCGACCUGGUCCGAUACUGACGCUGAGCGCGAAAGCGUGGGAGCAACAGG